GGGCGCGGGGCGGUGCGACGCUGACACGUGGGGCCGCAGCGGGGCGGGCGGUGCGUGGGGCAGCCCUGCGGGCUGCAAGGGGCACCUGUGCGUCGUUACACGCGUGCAUAUAUCUGGCUGCAUCGUAUGUGUCUAUACAUGUAUGUAUAUAUCUCAUACGGGUGUGUGCAAGGGUGUGUCUGUAGCCAAAUGCUGUGCAAUGUACAAUGUGCAAUGGAAGGACACCAUACAGAUGUAUGCAGGACUGUGUAAUGCCGUACAGGCGGAUGCAUGACUGUGUGUGUUCGUGAUGUACACACAGCACACGCACACACUGUGGGUGUGGGUGUAAGUACAUAGGCUCACACACAGCUGUAUGUGCACUUAUUUAAGUUACAUGCUAAUAGGCACAGCGAUCGCUUAUAUUCACAUGUAUGCACCCCAUACAGCCCUAUAUAGUUAGGGGCUACAGGAUAUGCGUAUUCAUAGCUAAAUAGACGUGGCACGUAUUUAAUGUAAGUAUGUAGCUAAUCCACGUGCUAUGAAUGCAGUUUCUGUCCCAGCAGCCGUGUUUACUGUGACAAAUCGCAGCCCUGUUCACCCCAUCCCUGCCUGUCGCCGCCGGAUGCCGUCGGUCAAUGAUUAACGUGGGGUCGGAGCCGCCCAAGGCCUGGAGGGAUGGAGGAGGCCGGCAGGAUGGAGGCCGGGGUGGGGGCUGAGCGACGGGUGGUGGCUGCCAGCAAUGUGGCCUUUGAGGAGGACCCGCCGCCCUACUCACCACCCGACCCCAAGAGUGCGGAGCUGCUGUUUCCGGUGGUUUUCCACCCCCAGCCCCAUCCCCACCCGCCGCCCUUCAUACCGCAGCCGCUGCCCUGCACCGCCUCCGUGGGGCCUCCUGGCACGGGGCCUCCAACCGCUGCCCAGCAGCCGCCCAAGGACUACCUGGUGGAGUCGGUGCUGGUGACGUUGUUCUGCUGCCUGCUGACCGGGCUCGCCGCCCUCCUCUAUUCACACGAGGUAAGGAUGGGCCCCGCUCAGCCCCUGCCCCGUGCCGUGACCCCGCUGACCUUUCCCCUUCUCCCCACGCCAGACCCGUGCUGCGCUCGGCCGCGGGGACGUGGCCCAGGCCCAGGCGGCGUCCAAGAAGGC
rnacentral:lncRNA from 1 species